CACAUUUGUGUUUCAAUUGACUAUGAAUACAAACAACAAUGGAUGCUAGGCAUUUUCCUAUCUCAGCGAAGUUCCCACAAUUCAGUAACAAGAACAGGACACUGGUGGUCCAGUACUCCAUCAAGUUUGAGCAGGAUAUUGAGUGCGGUGGUGGAUAUAUUAAGCUUAUGUCCGGUUAUGUCAACCAGAAAAAUUUAGUGGGGACACUCCAUAUAGCCUCUAUUGUUAGAACUGUGGAUUUUGCUGCUGAGGUACAAGAUGUGCUUAGAAAUCUUAGUGGCAACAGGGAAUCAAUGAAGGGAAUAAAGUCAUGGUUUAUGCAGAGGGCAGAGGGUGCUGUUUGUGUCGGCUCUGCCUCAAGUUCUUAAGGAAAGAGUAUUUGCCUUUGAGGAUUCAGAGGGGCAGCUGCACAUUAUUUUCCUGGUGAAUGAUAUUUUGUUUGAAAGGUA